GGCUCCUUGGUCAAGCGGUUAAGACACCACCCUCUCACGGUGGUAUCAGGGGUUCGAUUCCCCUAGGAGUCACCA
rnacentral:tRNA from 2 species